rnacentral:tRNA from 1 species
UCCCUGAUAGCUCAGCUGGUGAAGAAUCCGCCUGCAAUGCGGGAGACCUGGGUUCGAUUCCUGGGUUGGGAA